GGUAGUCCACGCUGUAAACGAUGUCGAUUUGGAGGUUGUGCCCUUGAGGCGUGGCUUCCGGAGCUAACGCGUUAACUCGACCGCCUGGGGAGUACGGCCGCAAGGUUAAAACUCAAAUGAAUUGACGGGGGCCCGCACAAGCGGUGGAGCAUGUGGUUUAAUUCGAUGCAACGCGAAGAACCUUACCUACUCUUGACAUCCAGAGAACUUAGCAGAGAUGCUUUGGUGCCUUCGGGAACUCUGAGACAGGUGCUGCAUGGCUGUCGUCAGCUCGUGUUGUGAAAUGUUGGGUUAAGUCCCGCAACGAGCGCAACCCUUAUCCUUUGUUGCCAGCGGUUCGGCCGGGAACUCAAAGGAGACUGCCAGUGAUAAACUGGAGGAAGGUGGGGAUGACGUCAAGUCAUCAUGGCCCUUACGAGUAGGGCUACACACGUGCUACAAUGGCAUAUACAAAGAGAAGCGACCUCGCGAGAGCAAGCGGACCUCAUAAAGUAUGUCGUAGUCCGGAUUGGAGUCUGCAACUCGACUCCAUGAAGUCGGAAUCGCUAGUAAUCGUAGAUCAGAAUGCUACGGUGAAUACGUUCCCGGGCCUUGUACACACCGCCCGUCACACCAUGGGAGUGGGUUGCAAAAGAAGUAGGUAGCUUAACCUUCGGGAGGGCGCUUACCACUUUGUGAUUCAUGACUGGGG
rnacentral:rRNA from 1 species